AACGCAUAUUGCGGUCAAGGCUCCGGCCGAGACCAUGUCUGCCUCAGCGUCGGUGUGAACCCCACACUCCCCACCUCUGGGGGCGGAGUGGAUCUGGUCUCCCCACUGCCCGUCAGUGGGUUGGCCGAAAUUCAGAGGUUUAAGCUUGGACCUGUAUGGCACCAGCAAGGUAGGUAGCUCGUCUACUCCAGCUGAUGCUUUGGGUACUGGCACGAGCCCGCAGGAAAACACCACUCUUUCGACCUGAGAUCAGGCAAGGCUACCCGCUGAACUUAA
rnacentral:misc_RNA from 1 species